ACCUCAAGGGAAUACUUGGAAAAACAGAUGUCAGAGGUUGAGAACAACCCGAGGGAACUUUUCCAGCAAGAUCCAGGUCUUGCUCGUCAGAUAAUGUCCAUGAGUGUAAUGACAUUGACGACUGAACUGUUGCUUUCCAAGCCCAAGUAUAUUCAAGAUUUGUUGCAAAAGUCUGGUAUGUCCUUUUGUCGUCCCAUUGCAACUCUUUCCACCACUUUUAAUUCUCGGUAGCAGGCUCCAAGCCAUGUUUGGAUGCUACUCGAUAUCGUCAAGGUGUUUGGAGGCCUUCAGUAUUUGACUCUUACAAGGCUUGACAUUUGGACUCUGUGAACAAAGCCUGUCCAUUCACCAAGUAAAGAUCGAUGGUCUGCUGUUAAACGUAUUCUGAGGUAUCUUCAGUGUACUUUUGGCUAUGGUUUAAUUACCCAAACUGUUUCAGGCCUUUAGCUCCAUGCAUUCACUGAUGCCAGUUGGGCUGCUAGUUUUGAUGAAUGUAUAUCUACCGGUGGCUACGCCAUUUAUCUUGAUCGCAAUCUGAUUUCAUGGAAGUCCUAAAAUCAACAACCAAAUUACAGACUAAACAGUAGAGAUUCAAAGAUAUGAUGAUCUGGCAAUGGCAUGCAACGCUAAAGUAUAAGGAUACAUCCCACUAAGAAAAAUUCAAGAAUCAUUGCCUGAAAUCACAGAGCCCAUGCUUGAGACAUUCAGUUCUUAUGAAAAGAGGGACGAAGGAAGAGAAAGAAAGUCAAUAAGAAAAGCUCGUUUUUUAAGUGUCAAGAUUUUCAAUUUCUUUUCCAUUGUAAUCUUCUCACAAGUCCUCCUUUUCUUAUUUCAAAUUCCCUAUUAUUUAUUCCCUAUUAUAUUGGAUUUAAUAAUAGAAAAAUUCAUUUUCCA